UUAAACUCUCUACUCUCUUGAGAAACCUUAUCUAUCUUUUCAAUAAAAAAGUCUUUAAGAUUAGAUCAUCUCUUGCUGGUGUGUAAUAUCCAUCGAGAAAUCAUGUUCCUCCUUUGGUGUGUCAUAUCCAGAGAAGGUCCAGUGGUAUAUCAGAGGCUUUCCGCAACCUCUGUGUGACCUUUCAAUCCACAGUUCACUGACUCGACCCCUUGACUCGACCGAACACUCGAGUCAAGCCCGAACCACACUCGACCAUCGUUCGAUCAUCACUCGACUGGUCACUCCACUCGACCACUUGACUCGACUGCACACUCGAGUCAGACCCCAUUCGAUCCACCACUUGCCUUCUGUGCUUUGGCUCAGUUGCUGGAAGCCUAUCCCAGUCACUCAACAGAUUUCAGAGUCUACGAUCCGUAGGAGAUUCGUAUCACAAAUAAGGAAAAAAUGUAUUCUCUCUCGAUGGCGACGGCAAAGGUGACGCUAGGGUUAUAGCCCGACAAUGCGAUUUAGUUUUGCGGUCCUUUUUCGGUUGAUCUAUGCGGUUAAUUGGGUUUCUCAGUGGUGGAUCUGGGUGACUGUGAUGAGAUUUUCACGGUGGCGAAUGGAAUUAGGGCUAUCGAGGUUAGCUUAUGCGGUGAAAGUUUUACAAUCGAUUCAAACUUUGGAAUUAACCUCUGUUCGGAGGAGAAGGACGGUGGGGAUGAGCCUGCCAGGCGGUUACCAAAAUCACAUACGUUCAUGGGGUUAGAUGCGGUGGGGAAGGUGAGGGGUUUAUCAUGGCGGCGAUGGGGAAUGGCGAUGAGCUUGUCGUGGCAGGUCCGUGUGAUUGUUUCGAGCUUCCUUUGGUUUCUUUGGGUGGAAAGGAUAAUUUUGGUUCUGUCCCAUAUAGAUUCACGGAGGUUUUUUACGCUGAUUCAUGAGGGGUUAGGUUCUGGUCCGAAUUACUCUAUGGUUUUAGCUUUUAGUAGGUGGAUUUCGGUUAUUUGUCGAUGGUUUAUUUCUUUAGUCCAUUCAUAGCUCAUGAUUUAGCUACAUCUCAGAGUUAUUGGCGUCUAAUUGAUCUUGGGAAUUAUGAGUUUUGUGGUCUAUCAAUCCGUCAAUGGAGUGUAAGGAUACAAGAAGAAUUGGUUUUGUUGUUUACGGUAAAAUUAAAGAUUAAGGGUAUGAGUUCGAUUUUGUUAUUGAGAUUAAGGGGUCCGGAAGCAUUCAAUUAUUAUACAAAGGAAUUUAUUUUUGGUUGGAGUAUAGUCCCAAAGACUGGAGAUGACUUGGUCGAAGGUGGUUUCUUGGAGAUUGCCCAAUGGGGGAAAGAUGAGUGUGGUUGAAAAGCUAUUUUGGGAAUUCCUCCAAAGUCAAGGAAAGGUUAAAGUCUGGUAUCAUAAUUUCGGCUAAUGAUUGCUUAAUUUAUUGAGGGAGAUUUUUGUGUAGGGGGUGCUGCAUAAGUUCUCUAGAAGAACAUGACUUCCAGUUUAUCAGACUCAUUGAUUUUUACUCGGACAAAAAAACAUCUCCACAUAGGAGACAGGUCAAAAAGGGAGUGGAGCAGGUGACGGAAGGCAAGAAUCCGAGGAACCAGGACAUGGCGAAGGGUACAGCGGGUGGUGGCAAACCACCAAAACACAAUGUUGAUAAAUGAAGGUUUUGAGUUGGAAUUGUCAAGGACUUGGGAACAAGGCAACUAUCGGUUAUCUUCGGGACAUAUGGAAACAACACCGGCCAGAUUUUUUAUUUCUUUCGGAAACAAAACAAUCUUCUUUGUUUAUGAAAAAUUUAUCGGUCAUUUUGGUUACAAAAAUUUAAAAACGGUUGAUCCUAUCGGUUGUAGUGGCGGUUUAGCUCUUUAUUACAAUUAUGAUUUUAAUGUAUCCAUUAUUUUUGAAAGUAAUCGUUUAAUUGA